GAUGAACGCUGGCGGCGUGCCUAAUACAUGCAAGUCGAGCGAACGGACGAGAAGCUUGCUUCUCUGAUGUUAGCGGCGGACGGGUGAGUAACACGUGGAUAACCUACCUAUAAGACUGGGAUAACUUCGGGAAACCGUAGCUAAUACCGGAUAAUAUUUUGAACCGCAUGGUUCAAAAGUGAAAGACGGUCUUGCUGUCACUUAUAGAUGGAUCCGCGCUGCAUUAGCUAGUUGGUAAGGUAACGGCUUACCAAGGCAACGAUGCAUAGCCGACCUGAGAGGUGGUUGCGCCCCGCUGAAACUGAGACGCGGCCCAGGCUCUUAGGGGGGGCAGCGGUGGGGAAUUUUCCGAAAUGGGCGAAAGCCUGACGGAGCAACGCCGGGUGGGUGAUGAAGGUCUGCGGUUCGUAAACCCCUGUUAUUGGGGAAAAAAAUAUGUGAAAGUAACUGUGCCCAUCUGGCCGUUACCUAAAAAGAAAGCCCCGGCUACCUACGU
rnacentral:rRNA from 1 species